rnacentral:lncRNA from 14 species
UCCUCCCCAACCCCUCCAUUUGAACCCCAUGUUUUGCCAUUUUAACGCCUCUGGGGGAGGGAUUUCCCUGCUGCAAUUAAUGGAUGGCUGAUUGAUUAUUGAUUAGUGAUUAAUGAAGGGGUAAUUAAUGAAUUGCAGGUGUAUUUCGAGGACAAUCCCCGGGACCUGCAGGCGCUGAGGCACGACCGGCCCCUGCACCCGGCCAGCGUGCAGCCCCACCUGGGCCACGUGCCCGAGUACCUGGUGCCCCCCAGCCUCCGCAGCAUCGCCGACCCCAACCCCAAAAAGAGGAAAUGUCCCCGAGGGGCCGGAGCCCGGCGCCGGGGGAAGAAGCCCCGCGGCUCCGGGAAUCCCCUGCAGAGCUUCAGGUUCGCCCGGCGAGGGAGCAAACGGGGGGCAGGGGGCACCCCCUGUGAGCCUGGCACCCCUGGGGGCACCUGGGGGCACCCCUGGGGGCACCUGGGGGCACCCGGGCACCCCUGGGUCACCCCCUGAGAGCCUGGGGGCACCCCCUGUGCCAGCCUGGGGACCCUGGUGUCACCUUCUGAGCCCCUGUGCCAGCCUGGGGUCACCACGGUGGUAGGUGACAAAUAAAGGUGCCAAGGAGCCGCUCUGCUGUCCCCUGGUGUCCCCUGGUGUCCCCUGGUGUCCCCUGGGGCCGGGCUGGGCGCGGGGCCGGGCGGGUGCCAGGGACACGGCGGGGAUGGGCGUGUGACGCCGCUGUGGGCAAAGGUGCCAGGGCAGUGCCACCCUUAUCUGUGUCCCCCGUUAUCUCCCCCCGUAUUGUCCCCAAGGCCACCAGGGCCAUCAGCAGCGGUACAGGGACACCCAGGGGUGGCCGCCCUGGGG